CAGCUGGAGCUGGGCUCCUCUUCCAAGCUCAGUAAAGUUGUUGGCAGAAUUCAGUUCCGUGGGAUUGUAGAACUGAAGUGGCAGUUUCCUUGCUGGCUAUCAGCAGAGAUCAUUCAAGCUUUUAGGGUCUCCCAUACUUCUUGGUUCAUUUCUCCCUUCAUCUUCAAAGAAAGUAAUGGUGGAUUGAAUACUUUUCAUGCCUUGCGUCUCCUACCACAUCUUUCCCUGAUUCUUCUG